ACGUUUUAACAAAUAUGAAUACUACAAGACGAUUUUGGAAAUAAAAAAAUAUAUCAAAGAGUAUGGGUCUUAACAUCGAUAGGUGCAAGACGAUAUAUUCGAAAAAAGUGGUAUUUUCGAAAAUAAAAGGUUGAUAUAAAUUAAACAUGACGUGACACGAUCACUGUCAAGAAAUGCAAUGUGAAGUGGAAUCACAUUAUCACCAGGCGAGCGGUAAAAAGCAACUGGACUAAUAAGUCUAGUUAGUGAGAUCGGUUAAGGUAAUUUAAGUAAGUUGGUUGCUUGUAAGCGGUGGAUUCGGUAUAACUGAACCGAAUAAAUGAAUUGGAAAACAAAAGAAAUAGUUGCUAAAAGAGAAAGAUUUCACUAAAGACCUUUAAACGGGUCAAGGUAACGGAUUCACAAAGAGUUCGAUAAUAUAUGAAAGCGAUGGAUAUCGCUAAGUUAACUAAACUAGUGGAAAUAACAAGAUUACGUUAUUUCGAAGUUACACUAUGUCGUAUGAGAUAUGUAGACAAUUAGUAACCAAAAAGAUGUUACCGUACUUUUCGGGUAGUACUAACGAUUGGUUAAAAAAGUAUAAGUAAUGUUUAAAAGAUUACUCAGGUCAAACGCAUUGAGUUUAGAACUCGAUGAACUAUGUAAGAAAGGUUUCGAGGACGAAACCUCUUUAAGGGGGGUAGACUUGUAACACCCCGAAAACGGGUUUGGUAAUCAAACCCGGUUAAUACUAAGAGACGGGUUAUAACUCCCGGAAUCCAAUAAGUUAACUAGGAAUAAUAAUAACCUAGUUAGAAGAGAAGUCUUGUAGUGACAUACUAGUGGGUUAAAAACCUUAUAACUAGGAAAAUAUAAAACUUUAUAUUAAAAUUAUAAAGUUUUAAAUAAACAAGGACAAACUAACUAGGACAAAUUAACCCAGUUAGUCUUGAGACUUGUAAAUUACUUACUAGAAGGUUAAAACACCUUAAAUAAAUAACUUAAUGAUAAUGGAGGGACUAAAGGUGUUAAAACUAAAACUAAUAAUAAUAAAAACAAGGUUUAAACACCAAACACACUAAAAGAAGUGUGUCUGGUCGAUCUAAACAUCAGGAGCGAACAGGAGCUUCCCCACCAAACCCUAACUUGUGCAAAUUGAUCAAAUUGGGGCUUCAAAUCAGUUCCAAAUCGAUUUCCAAGCACGAAAUUGUCAUCUCCAUUGAAAGGGGAGUCAUAAGGUAUGUAAAUUUUAUGAAAAAUCUCUAGUUGGAUUUCUAGGUAAACUUAGAAAUCUAAAAUUGAUGGUUGCAUGUUCGUUAUAUGAUGAAAUUAGGAAUGAUUUUAUGUCUAUGAGUAAACCCUAGUCAUUUACUUGUUGAAUUGAUGUUCCUGAUUGUGAAUUCAUGAUCACCCGAUUAUGUGCUAAAUGGGUUUUGUAGAAACAUGAUGAACACUAGAAUCAUAAUGGUUAAAUUGUGUUAAUAGAACUCCCUGAAGUUAGAUUUGAAGUUUGAUGUUAGUACUUGUUAAUUUUGCUAGAAUUUAAGGGUUUAGAACACUUAAAUGGGCUAGAGAAAUUUGAUGUUUCGUGUUGCACACAAGGUGCUUGUUAAAAUGUUUGAACAAGAAAAUAUAACAAAGCUGAUUAGAAUAAAAAAUUAUUGGGAUGCAGUUUUUAAAAAAUCAUAUAAAAUUACUGGAACGGCCUGUGAGGUUGAGCCUUAUAUGCUCAGAAAGCUAUUAAAACAUACUACGUUUAAUGUUUGAACAUGUUUGUUAAAUUCUGAUGUUAAAUGGGUCAAAACAGUGUCCGAAGUAGGCUGAACUGUUUUGACAGCAAGCUGAUUGGAAAAAAAAAUUAUUGGGCUGCAGUUUUAAAAAAAUCAUAUAAAAUUACUGGAACGGCCUGUGAGGUUGAGCCUUAUAUGCUCAGAAAGCUAUUAAAACAUACUACGUUUAAUGUUUGAACAUGUUUGUUAAAUUCUGAUGUUAAAUGGGUCAAAACAGUGUCCAAAGUAGGCUGAACUGUUUUGACAGCAAGCUGACUGGAAAAAAAAAUUUGUUGGGCUGCAGUUUUUAAAAAAUCAUAUAGAAUCACUGGAACAUCCUGUGAGGUUGAGCCUUAUAUGCUCAGAAAGCUAUUAAAACAUACUACGUUUUAUGUUUGAACAUGUUUGUUAAAUUCUGAUGUUAAACGGGUCAAAACAGUGUCCGAAUUCGGCUGAACUGUUUUGACAGCAAGCUGAUUGGAAGCAUUUUGACUUCUGAGCUGAUUUUUUUGCGAAAAUCAUAAUUAAUUAUAGGAAGCUCGGAUUGAGCUGAUUCUUUUUGGGUUGGAAAGAUAUUUUAGUAUUCUACAUUUCAUCUUUGAUCACCAAGGGCUGAAUAAAACCGUAAAGUGGUUAAAAGAGUCGAUUCCGCAGCUACAUUGUAAAGUUGCUACACAUUUUAUUGAUAAACUUAAUCUAAGAAAAUUGUAUACAAGAAAAGGAUGAAUUGUGAGAAAUGUGAUAAUGAUGGCAUUCUAAUAAAUUAACUUGAGGUAAUGUGUCUAACGUGGAAAUAUAAUUUGAUUGUAAGACUUGGUAAGAGAUAUGUCGUAGUAGCUUUUAUUCCAUACUUGAAUAGUGUGGUGUGUACCAUGUAUUUGCUUCAAACAAAUUUUAUGAAAUGGGGUGUAUUAAAGGCAUCUAAAAUACAUACAAAUGAUUUAUGCAAGUAAUAUGUACGUGUAUGCCAAACAUGUUCUAAGUUAGUGCUCAGUCACAUACACAAGGACAGUUUGACUUACGAAAGUCAAACUGACCUAAAACUAAUGUCUUGAUAAAUGAGUAUGUGUGAAUCCAUGAGAUGUUGUGGUCAUUUUAUAUAAUGACUAAUCUAACAAAUCUUGUGGGUAUUGUGUUAAGUUUGAUCUCGUCAAGCUAAGUGGGAGCUGGAAAGGAAUGGAUCAAACGGGUCAAGUGUGCAAGGAAAGCUCGAACGGACGCAAACUGUACAUUUUGGAUGCCGGAAGACGAUCAAGCUCAACGAAGAACCGAACACGAAUAAGAUAAAAGCUUCCGCACGUCGUUUCGUCGUAACUUUUAAACGACGAACUCAAUUAUGUUAUGUUGUAUUAUUUUAAAAUUGUAAAGUUUAAACAAACCCGUAUUUUUACAAAGUAUAUGUAGUCAUAAUUACAUGUUGUUUGUCGUAUACUUUACGAAAACCAUUAAAUAAUGAAAAGGGUGUUACAUA
rnacentral:lncRNA from 1 species